rnacentral:lncRNA from 1 species
GUCCGCAACGAGACCCUCAAGUGUACCAGAUUUAAAAUCCUAAAAAAUCCACUUGGAUUUUUACCGGAUUCUCCAGGAUUUUUGGAUUUUUUUUGGAUUUCCUAGAUUACUGGAUUUUCAAGUAUUUCAUAUGGAUUUUCACUUGAAUUAUUGGAUUUACUGAUACUUAUUUUGGAUUUUUGGUAGGAUAAUUGGAUUUUUGGAUUUUUUAUCUGGAUUUUAGGCCUGGAUAGUCCAAGUAUGGGUGUGUAAUAAGAUCACAGAUCUGUCAGAGUGCUGGACAACUUUUACCGGUACCUCGACUUUCACAGAGCCAUGCUUUGUCUUCACUGAAUGGUGGGAUACAAUCUUCAUGAUACCAGUUGCGCAACACCUUUCACAUUGAACCAUUUUACGCCCAUCAUCUUCCCUCUUGCACGAUGGACAAUAGUAUAUAACUAUUUGGAAAAACGAGACACAACUUUGAGGGUCUAUACCAUUGGCCAGGGCCGUCGCAUUGGCAAUGGCAUAAAGACCACAGUCUGAGGAGCCACUUUGUUUUGUAACUGGAACACAGUUCACUUUUACUUGAAUGAAGCCAUUCUCAGCUAGGAGAAACGAUAAAAUUCGCUCGGAAUUUUCUGGAAGUUUUGAGUACACUGAAUCAUAAUAAUUCAGGCAGCACUCUGAAUCAUUUUCAGAUGGAAUGGAACUGACAACUGCCCAAUGGUGUCUCGUGAGUUGAUAGCAAGUGGACUGUAGGCCAUUCAAGUGAGGAAAACUAGCUUUUAGUAAAAACUGUGCAGCCGAUAUGUGAACAUCAGUGAUUCUUCUUCCAUUUGCAAUAUCCAAUUUAUCUUUUACUUUUAAAAGAUCACCAUCAAUUAUCAUAGGGUUUGAGGCUGAACCAGAAGUUGAUGCUUGACUGGGCAUGAGAGAAGUCGAGGUGCAUUUUUCACAAGCUGAGGCAAUGUAGUUCAUACACUCUGGAGUAACUUUAAAUUCAUUGGUUCUGUACCAUCGUAAAAGACACAGAAGUCACCUAUUGCUACAUGAUUACUGAUGAGUGGUUGAUUUUCGACUCGAUCUGACAUUAUUGUUGAAAGCUUGGUAGUCUCUUUGGAUUCAUUUGGCUGUUGUGAUCGAACACGGAAGAUUCUGUCACUGGACACCCUCUCUCCAUCAUUGAGUAGCCAUACUGCUGUCUUUUUACGGAUGAAGAUACUCCUGCCUUCAACAAUGACUGGUACAAAAAGGGAGUUGUUGGGAUCUUUAUCUGGUGUCAUUAUUUCAUUCUGAUACGUUGGAAUUGCUACUGAAGGAGAAAAACUUUUGUCAAGGUAGCUGUUUACUGAAGCAUCGACAAUUUCAAGGUAUACUUUGGUACCUACUGCAUCAGCUGCAAAGUUUUGCUUGUCUCUAGAGUCUAAAUCUCUCCUUCUCAUCCCAUGUUUCUCUUUCCCAUAUAUGUUUGUAAGAAUGUGUAGUACAUCAGUGGCUGAAAACUUGUUGUCACUCCCAAUGCAGGCCAAACAGAAGGAUGGAACACCCUCUUUCAGAGAUUGCACCAUGUAUACAUAAGCAUAUUUUGCUAUAGUAUGCUGCUGAAAAUAACUCUCAAUAUCUUCGAAUGUAUUAACAUUGAAGGAAUUACGUAAAGUAGCGUCCUCAGCCAGAGCAACCAUAAAUGGAGCUUUGUGUUUCACAAGAUGCUGUAGUAGAUCAUCAAAGCGAAAAUAUCCUUCACGCAAAGGUGUUACUUGAGAAGAAGUGGCUAUUGAGGAAAUAAUUGAAUGCAGUUUCUCAUUCUGUUUUACUAACUCCUGCUAUUUCUAAUUUUCUGAGCUUUCGAGCAGUACGAGAUUGGGACCAGUUUGAAGACUGUUUUUUAACCCCUCCUCUUAAAACAGAGGAGGGGCUAAUUAAAAAACCUGGUUUGUUGAAGGUUUUUCUUGUUUGGAUUGUAAUGACUGCUCUGAUGGCAACUGAGAUGGCAUUGUUAAUAGUGAAGGAGAAGGGGAGUGAGAAAGAGGCGAUGCUGUAGGAAUCGGUUGAAGAGGAGACACCUCUGCAUGAUAACUUUCAGUUGCUAUUUCAGUAUGAAACAACUCUAAUGGUGGAGAGUCAUCGUUGGACUGUGAACAGUGAGUAAUCGGGAAGAGUGAUUGUGAUGUUGCUGGUAGUGAUGAUGGAGAAUCAUCACUGGACUGUAAACAAUGAGUAAUCGGGAAGAGCAAUUGUGAUGUUGCCUCUUCAGCUGUUGCUUCAUUUGUGGAUAAUGUAUUACCAGUACUUGUGUCUGUGGAGCUUGUGAUGAUGUAGUCUCAUCAUGUACUAGUGAUGAUGCUUUGCGCUUCUUUGCUGGAGGGCCAGAUAUUGCUUGAACGGGUAAUCGCUGGCCCUUAAAGGAUGAAAUGAACUUCUUGAUAAUAACACGGUGUCCUGGAGGAAAUUUGAAUGGCUCGGAUAUACAUUUAUUUCGUCGCAUACAAUGUAGCAGUUCAUCCUUUCUCUCAUCAAUAUAUUUCUCAAGGUCACUAUGGAGCACAGAAGUUGAGUUUUGGAUUGUGUGAGUAUACAGCUAUUUUACCUGUUAAUCUCUGCCAUAGCUGCUAAAGAUAGGUUGCUUGCUAUCACUACAGCUAAUUGAGUAAUAGUAUGUCAAGCUAAGUUUCAAACCUACAUGUGGAUAAUUUGUAAUAAGUUUGUGAUUUGUCAUUAUUUGUCUCAUUAUUGAUCUUACUCUAAAUAAUUUUGAUAUUAUAGAGUCCAGAAAUAGUAUUCAACGGAGUGAAGUGAGGAUGGUGAAUUAUCCUUGGAAUUAUCUAUGCUAGAUUUUUUAAAGUUGUUUUCAUAACAUGAACAUUAUUGGCUUUAUCUUACCCUAGGUUUUUCAGACAAAUUCAGUCUUUAGACCAAAAUGCUGUUUCUGUUACCCUGCCAGUAACUUGAGAUAAGAUCAAGGAUCAGGAAAGAAAGAGCAAAUGAGAAGAAGGAAUCGAGAGCAAGGAAGUUGGACUAUCACAAAGACUUUAAAGUUUCAGUAGCUCUGCCUUUAGCAUGAGCAUGUGCACUACUACUAAAUAUAGCAGCUCAAACUGCUAUAUUUAGUAUCGAUGCAUGUUCAUGCUUGGUUUCACACUCAGUACUUGUGACUGCUGAGAUGUACUGUUUGUUCCUAUUUUAGAAUCAUUAUACUAACUGAAAAACCACUAUCACUAAUGACUUAUUAAUUAAUGUUUU